AAAAAAAAGUCAAUUAAAUAACAGUGAAUUCGUGUUUCACGCGAUUGAAAAAAAAAAAUAAUAAUAAAAAAAAAUACGCGUCUGGUUUUGGCACGUUUGUGCUCAAAUAUGCGAAUGAAUUAUGGCCGUAGUUGUUGGAAAAAAAAAUAUAUUGUAAUAUACUUGCUAGCAUUUAGUUCUAAACACGGUAUUCGUCGAUAUUCAUAAAAGUUUUAUUAGCC